rnacentral:rRNA from 1 species
CCAAACUCCUACGGGAGGCAGCAGUGGGGAAUAUUGCACAAUGGGCGAAAGCCUGAUGCAGCAACGCCGCGUGAGUGAUGAAGGCCUUCGGGUCGUAAAACCCUGUCCUCAAGGAAGAUAAUGACGGUACUUGAGGAGGAAGCCCCGGCUAACUACGUGCCAGCAGCCGCGGUAAUACGUAGGGGGCUAGCGUUAUCCGGAUUU